rnacentral:rRNA from 1 species
GACGAACGCUGGCGGCGUGCUUAACACAUGCAAGUCGAACGGAAAGGCCCUGCUUUUGUGGGGUGCUCGAGUGGCGAACGGGUGAGUAACACGUGAGUAACCUGCCCUUGACUUUGGGAUAACUUCAGGAAACUGGGGCUAAUACCGGAUAGGAGCUCCUGCUGCAUGGUGGGGGUUGGAAAGUUUCGGCGGUUGGGGAUGGACUCGCGGCUUAUCAGCUUGUUGGUGGGGUAGUGGCUUACCAAGGCUUUGACGGGUAGCCGGCCUGAGAGGGUGACCGGCCACAUUGGGACUGAGAUACGGCCCAGACUCCUACGGGAGGCAGCAGUGGGGAAUAUUGCACAAUGGGCGGAAGCCUGAUGCAGCAACGCCGCGUGCGGGAUGACGGCCUUCGGGUUGUAAACCGCUUUCGCCUGUGACGAAGCGUGAGUGACGGUAAUGGGUAAAGAAGCAUCGGCUAACUACGU